rnacentral:rRNA from 1 species
CCUACGGGAGGCAGCAGUGGGGAAUCUUGCGCAAUGGGCGAAAGCCUGAUGCAGCGACGCCGCGUGAGGGAUGAAGGCCCUUGGGUUGUAAACCUCUUUCAGCAGGGAAGAAGCGAAAGUGACGGUACCUGCAGAAAAAGCGCCGGCUAACUACGUGCCAGCAGCCGCGGUAAU